CCUUGACCUUGGUCAGAGACAGACCCCUGAAGGUCUUGCUGACAAAGAACCUCCUCCCACCAGCUCUCUCCUGCCAUGCUCUGGGGGUCGGAGGUGAACCUUCUGGGACUCUCUGCGCACGCCCCUGGGACCGCACCUACGCCCCUGGGACGGCACCUAGACCUAAACUUCAUCCCAGGCCCCACCCCGCCCCAGCCCCAGCCAUGCCCACGGCUGCAGGGCAGUCCAGCUGUCCAGAGGGGACGCUACCAGUUGGAGACACAGUCACGUGGCUUGGCAUGUGGCCCUGGCCCAGGAUUAUUUAGGAUCACCGCCCUGCACACUCCCCCGGGGCUCUGGGAACUGGGGCUUCUGCAGAGGCACGUGCAAGCUGAGGCAGCUGUGUCUAGCGGCUUCCAGCCCAGGGCUCAGGACACAAGAAGCCCUCCCUAGGCUCCAAGGUCCUCCUUGCCCAAGGGUGAGAGGUCAUUGUGCGAUGGGGUCCAGAGGUGUGACCGCUUCACUAGAGCAGGUGAGAAUGGGGCAGGGGUGCCGGCCGUCUGUUCUACGUAUUCCUGGUGGGAGCCUCUGCUCACCGGGAAACUGAUCGUAGAUUUACAUGUUCUCAUUGCUUUUUGCUUUUUCUUCUUUUUUCUGGCCACGCCCGUGGCAUGGGGGAGUCCUGAGACCAGAGAUCAAACCCGAACCACAGCAGCGAUCCAAGCCUCUGCACCAGCAACCCCAGAUCCUUGACCCGCCACCCAGGAGGGACUCUUUUGGUUGUUUUGAUCGUUUGUAUUUUCUAAAUAUUAAAGAAAUUCUUUUUUCCCUAAUGA